rnacentral:rRNA from 1 species
UACGUAGGGAGCAAGCGUUGUCCGGAAUCAUUGGGCGUAAAGAGCGCGUAGGCGGUCCGGUAAGUCGGUUGUGAAAACUGGGGGCUCAACCCUCAGAGGCCGACCGAUACUGUCGGGCUAGAGUCCGGAAGAGGCGAGUGGAAUUCCUGGUGUAGCGGUGAAAUGCGCAGAUAUCAGGAGGAACACCAAUGGCGAAGGCAGCUCGCUGGGACGGUACUGACGCUGAGGCGCGAAAGCCAGGGGAGCAAACGGG